rnacentral:lncRNA from 1 species
CAGCAAUUGUUAACUUUUUCUUUUUUAAUAAAAUGAUCAUUAAAAGUAUACUUUUGGAGUAGGAGUGUUUCUAACUUCUCUAACACUAAACUCUUGGCUGUCACCUUUAUUUCUCCCUCAGCAUCGCUGGUUCUCUUCCUCAGUAUGGCAGCAGCAGCAGCAGCAGGACUGUUAUUCACAUCAGUGCUCAUCAUCCUUUUCUUCAUGAAGAAACGGCACAGAGCUGAGAAGAACCGUCAUUAUGCCAAUGCCUCAAGAGAGAAACAAGAGAAGACUGACGGGGAUGAUGAAGAAGAUGUUUAUGAAAAUGCAGAAGUUGUUCUUCACCGCAGAGUGAAUAUAUCGGAUGAGGACUAUGUCAAUGUAGAUGAUGGUGUGGAGAAAACAACAGCAGGAAAUCACGAUUUAGGUGCCAAAUAUACAGCGGGGGCUGCAGACAUGAAGAGCAAGGUGGAUGUGGAUGAUGAUGAUGAUGAUGAUUAUUAUGAAAAUGCUGAAGCCACUGCCAAGCAGAAU